rnacentral:lncRNA from 1 species
UAAAAUUUUUAUAAUAUUCUAAAACUUAAGGACACACUGUCACGCCCCGGGGCCGAUUUUAAAAGCCAAUACCAUUUUUAAAACUCAGAGUUGCGGAAAGCGUGCCAUUUUUUUUUUUUUUUCAACCUGGCCCACGUGACGUACAGACCCGCCACAAAUACAAAGUUCCUCUGUCCACUCGGGCAGAGUCUCCUUUGUAUUUGCACGGCGUACCAACGGAUACAACAGGAUCUCAACCACAACCUACAUUUACCAAUCAACAACCAAAGCAUGAUAUGUAUUUCCAUACAGCUAACAAUCCUUAGAAUGAUGCAUGCCUCUAAGCACUCCUUAGGCGCUGGAUGAUGCAAUGCACAAUACAACAACCAUCCUAUUUAAAAGUGCUCCCCACACAGAAGCUUUUAUUUUUGAACUCUAAUUCAUUCAUCAUGAAAAACCAUUUGAAAACCUUUUGAAAACUGUUUCCCACACGGAAACUCUAUUUUGAAAACCAACUACCUCGAGGGGUAGAAAACCACGAUGCGUAAAUCCAUAAAUACAAAUCCGAGAACCACAAAG